UUCUCGGUCUCUUCAUAUUGCUUUCUUCUCAUCAAAGGUACUACCCGCUGGAUCGGUUCCACCACUUCUCAUGAGUAGACAAGAUGCUGAGCAUGCACACAUAGACACAGUCAAAGGACCCGGCCACUCCAAAAGGCAAAUCAACUAAUCGUUUCCCGGCCUCUGUGAAGAAAUUCUAGAGCUGCUCUCAUGUUGUCUAGAUGGGUCCAAUUAAUAUGAUCCAAGUUCUGCUUGCAAAUGAUUUUGCAAUUGCAUCAUUAGCUUGCUAAUUUCGCCGUUUGCAUUAGCAUAAGAGGGGCCUGACAAAACUGAAGUGGCCGGUACUCAGCUGUAAGCCUUUAUUUCCAAAUGAUAGCAUCCAGGUAUUUCUUUUCCCUUGCCAAAAGAUUCAACGACCACAUGUUAGUCAAUCAACAACCUUCCUGAAUUUCUAUCUACAAAACUGGGCUGCUGGAGGAUGACAUCCAUGCUUUGGAUGAUGAAGCUGCUGCUGAGCUGAGAAUCAUGUCAUGUCCAGUGCAAAGUUCAAGAGAAUGCUGACUGGAUCGGUGCUUCAGCGUGUGUUAGAUGGAAAAGCCGCUUCUAUCCAGCACCGCUUUCCUUAUGCGAUGUUGCUUAAAAUUCAGUGUUCUAUUUUGUCAUCCAUGGUUAACCUUACCUUUUAUCUAUGAACAAGCAUUCUCAACAGUUAGUGCUCGGUUUGUAAUGAAUAUUAUGUUGCAUCGAAAUUGCUUGAUGUGUUCAACUUUUGUAGUAAUGCCUACCUCUGAAUAUUAUGUUGCAUCAAAACUGCUUUUUGCUCUCUCGGACCUGUAUUGCUUUGUAUGAAUAAUAGAAUUUUG